ensembl:lncRNA
UUGUGGGGGAACCUAUUUUAGCAUCUGAACCGUUUACAUGUUGCCUCUUCAGAUCCUCUGACUUAGUUUUAGACUAUUGGUCUUUGAGAGUCUUACUAUGUGGACUUUUAUAGCUUACAGCUUUCCUACCCUUCUCUUCUCUUCCUGGAACACAGUUGGAUGCACCAAUUUGUAUAUUAUUUUUGAUGUCUUAAGUUAGUACUAACGUUAUGUUGUGAACUUACAGUGCUUAUUUGCCUUUGCAGCAACCAGGUCUUCAGAAUCACACCAGAUGGCCACGAAGAUGUUGAGCUUCUCCAGAAACUCUUUCAGAAUAUGACGGUAGACCUGUGGCAACCCAACAGUGCCUCUCUGAUCCAGGAGGGCAAUCCAGUGGACGUCCAUGUGGGUCGGAAUCUCACUCAAGGGUGCUCAUCGCCAACCUUCAAAAGG